AUUAUCAAAUCAAUGAUAAACCUAUGAAUGUUCUAAAUAAUCCAGAUAUUGUACAUAUAUUGUAAAGAAAAGAGAACAAUCGUUUUCCUUUAAAAGAGGGACGAAAGAUACCAGAGGGACAGUCAAACUCAUAAAUCGAAAAUAAACUGAUAACGCCAUGGCUAAAAGUGAAAAAAAAAACAGACAAACAAUAGUACACAUGACACAACAUAGAAAACUAAAAAAAUAAGCAACUCGA
rnacentral:lncRNA from 1 species